rnacentral:tRNA from 1 species
GGGCGUGUAGUUCAGUGGUAGAACGCUACGUUGACAUCGUAGUGGUCGCAAGUUCGAUUCUUGCCAUGCCUACCA